GUGGCGGGCUUCGAGGUGGGAGCGGUUUAAAAUGCAAAUAACGUGGCCCGAGCGAAUGGUCGCAAAGGGGGGGGGGCUUAUCUCGUAGACCGUCUUGGCUACCGGAGAAAUACGUGUCUGCCUGUCCCAUACCUGAACGGGGGGAUGUCAGGCAGGAGAAACGCUACGCCUUGUCUCCAAAGGGAAGCUGCCUUUACCUUGGAGAUGACCUUGCUGCAUCUAAAGCUUAAUGCCUUUAAUCUAUGAUAUGAGUUAAAUCUAAGAUGAUUCUCAAAUCCUUUACAGCUUCAACGGACCUUCCUCUGACAGAAUGUUAGGUAGUUGAACAGCAAGAGCUCUAUCUGGGGGCAACAGCUAUUGCAACUAAGUCAUAAAAUUAAAAGUCCACACUGGAAAAGAGCAGGACCUCUACAUCAAAGGCAAGGAAAAGGUGAAUUGGCUGCCCUAAUGCCUCAAGAACCCCAAAUGCCUCUUAGCUUUCUCCUUCUCCUUUCAACCUUACUCCCACUGUGUCAGUCUUGGGCCCAUAGGAGCUACUGUGAAGAUGGCAUUCCAUAGGAGGGCAACUAGUCAACUGGAAGUGAUUUGAAGUAAAACAAAGUUACCUAGCUAUAUGAGCAAUGGGAAUUCUUUGUUAGAAAAAGUUGAAGAGUCAUCUGUUGGGGGUUGCUAUUGUGGUAGAUUUUCUGCAUCAUCCGGACUGAACUACAUGAUCUGGAAAGUCCCUUUUAGCUAUAUUGUGCCUGCCUUCACAUGAAUAGGUUUUGCACACUUCCAUAGUAAUGUAUAAUCAGUUGUGAAAAAAGUAGUGGGAAAUGUCAUAAGGAAAGAUGAAAUAGUCACAAGAUGCAACCGUGACUUAUCUCCAGUUGCUUCAGUACUAGCAGCAUGAUUGUCUGAAGAGUUGUUUCCCUCAAGCUAACAACCUUGGUAGUAAAUUGAAUUUGUUAUAUGUUAUGUCCUUGCUCUUUCCUUGGUUGUCUUCCAUGACAAACUCCUUUGAUUAUUAUUUAUGACGUUUAACCAACUCAGGUUUGAAGUUGUUGUUUAGAUGCCAGAAUAUCACAAUUUGUGUACCUGAACAACUGCUUCAUACAUUACAGUAAAUACCAUUUCGGAUUCAACAUUUACCAUAGAACUGAAAAAUAUAUCUUAUCAUAUAUCCCUCACUGUGCAAACAAAAUAUAGAUAUGCUUUUAUCAUAUAAAAUCAUAUUUCAGAAUUCUGGCUAUUGUGGCUAAGGAGUGAGAAUCCAAACUUCUGAUCAAAAGCAAUUGUUGAAAAUUGAGUAUAUUCCAAGCACACUGAUAAGUUCAAGGAUGAAGAGCUCUGAGGUCCAUUUCCUUCUUGUGUUUCCUAGAAUAUUUGAAUGGAGAGCAUCUAUUCUGUCCCUGAGUGACCGUCUCCUACACCAUAACUAAAGCACAUAGCGCAGCACCAUCCAUUCAGAGCAGCACAUCCUGGGCAUGGCAUCUGGGAAAUAUAAUCUAGAGCAUUAACUGGUGGCUCACAAACAUUGAUGCUGCUUCCCUAGUGCCAGACUCCUCAGUGCAGUCAAAGGCAGAGAUGAAAGAUUUAAUAGAGCUGGCAUAUAAAAAGGGAAAGUGAAAAACCAAUUAAACCCACUAUCCUUUGUACCUAAAUAUUUUUCACCCUUAUUUUGCUCAGUUCAGUAAUUUCCUGACAAGACUGGGAAGAGGGUGAUGUGAUGGAUGCUUUUACUGUGGACUAGUAUAGUUGCCAAAAAGCUUCUAAAGAACUCAGAAAAACAAAGUUCUGGCUGCACACGCCUUUGUCUCGACCUAAGAGGAAAGGUGGGAAUUUCCUUGGCAGGGGGCAAAGAAUUCUCUUAUCCAAAUAAGGAAUGUUGCUUCAGCUGCAAAUAAUGGUUUGAAAUGUAGCAUGCCACUCAGAGCCCACAUGCAACCCUCUGCACCCCUAAUAUGAAAGCCUGGUGGCCAUCUGUUCCCAUGAUGGAAAGGAUCUGAAGGCAAUGCAAUGGAGACAGCCCUAGCCCUUCAUCUGGCCUUCAGCAUGACAGGGAAGAUCUUCCCCAUCUGACAAACGUUUGGCUCCUGUAGGAUUAGAACAAUUCAUCUGAACAUAUGCUGGGACUCUGCCUCUAUAAGAAAAUACAGUUGCUCAUGUUACACACGCUGCUCCCAGGUUUGGCUUAUGGUCACUUACUCACACACUCACAGCCUGUUGAGGCAGGCAGA